CAGUGCCGCGGUAAUACGUAGGGUGCGAGCGUUAAUCGGAAUUACUGGGCGUAAAGCGUGCGCAGGCGGUUUUGUAAGACAGGCGUGAAAUCCCCGGGCUCAACCUGGGAAUGGCGCUUGUGACUGCAAAGCUAGAGUGCGGCAGAGGGGGAUGGAAUUCCGCGUGUAGCAGUGAAAUGCGUAGAUAUGCGGAGGAACACCGAUGGCGAAGGCAAUCCCCUGGGCCUGCACUGACGCUCAUGCACGAAAGCGCGGGGAGCAAACAGGAUUAGAUACCCCGGUAGUCCCUGUCUCUUAUACC
rnacentral:rRNA from 1 species